CCUACGGGAGGCAGCAGUGAGGAAUAUUGGUCAAUGGACGCAAGUCUGAACCAGCCAAGUAGCGUGCAGGAUGACGGUCCUCCGGGUUGUAAACUGCUUUUAGUUGGGAAUAAAGGGUGGCUCGUGAGCCCCGUAUUGUAUGUACCAUCAGAAAACGGACCGGCUAAUUCGGUGCCAGCAGCCGCGGUAAUACGGAGGAUGCGAGCGUUAUCCGGAUUUAUUGGGUUUAAGGGGUGCGUAGGGGGAAUGCCAAGUCAGCGGUAAAACCGCGGGGCUAAACCUCGCUUCGCCGUAGAAACUGGCGUUCUUGAGUGGACGAGAGGUGUGCGGAAUGCGUGGUGUAGCGGUGGAAUGCGUAGAUAUCACGCAGAACUCCAGUUGCGAAGGCAGCAUACCGGCGCCCAACUGACGCUGAGGCACGAAAGCAUGGGUAGCGAACAGGAUUAGAUACCCGGGUAGUC
rnacentral:rRNA from 1 species